rnacentral:lncRNA from 1 species
AUGAUAGGGCGACUAAUGGCUCCGCCUUUUGGGCUUCGGUGCUUCUGGAGAAACCUUCGAAGGAGGUGCUUGAGACUCGUGGCCCCAAUAAGAGCAACUUCUGGAUCUUCCCAGUGUGACGCUUGCAUGGCGUCGGGGCUUGACCUCCGUCGCGGACCGCCGUACGCUUGGCUCUUGAUGUGUGCUGAAGACCAUCGCGGAGGCGUAGCUGCUGUUGUACCUUUGAGGGAGAAUGUGUGAGCUGAACCAAGGAAAAUAUCCACAUGUACGAGUGGACAACGCUAUUAAUCACUUUGGAAAAUAGUAGCAGUUUUUGUGCCAUUGAGUCCACGUGAACUGAAACGGAGUUCCUCUAGAAUGUCCCGUGCGCCACUUGUGUCCUUAGAGUGGGAAGAGUGUGUCCGCCGUUACUGUGUUUGCCUCCGUCCAUCUGGUUGCUGCUCCUCCUCCUCUUCUUUGUCCUCCACCUUCUCCAUCAUCAUCGCCGUCCUUUCUAGAGACUCGGUCUUUUCGUGAAGUGUCCAAAGUACGGUAUCCUCACUCUCAUCCUCUGUGCUUCCGGUCGGUGCUUAGAUCCGAUCCGACAUCCAUCUGUUCUCCUGGCUGCGUGUCCCUGGUGGAAUUAGAACUCCUUUCCACAGACCCAGCUCAAAGGAGCCCAAAUUGUUGCUGAUCUGCUCCUUCGGUGUCCAACCUUUCACAUCCGUAUAGCGUUCCAGAAAGAUGCAGCAGUGGAGCAAUGCUCCUCGUGCUUCUUACGCACACCUGUGGACCUGUUCCAGAUCUUUCCGCUCUUCUCUCAUCUCUUGCUGUCGAUCACCGAUCCCAAGAGUCGAAAGCUGUCAACGGCUUCCGUGUCUCCACCGUCAAUCCUAAAUUUUGCUGCUCUUCCCGGCGUCAGUAUCCUUUACAUUUUUUAUUGUUUUAAAAUUAUAUUUAUUCAUUGCUCUCCACCCGGACUUUUAGGAAUUUAAGGUCCUUUGGAUCAUUGAGUUAAGUCGCCUGGGGUGAGAAGGAACCAGGUAGUGGUGGAGUUUGAGCUUGGGGGAUGUUUGCCCGUGUCUCCGGCGCUCGCUGCUGUUGUGCGAGAUGGCGACCCGAUACACACCGUCCCCAUAUGACCUCUUCAUCCGGUGGCGGAAGGAGCCGGUAUUGAUUGGUUAAAAGGAAAGCGUUGGCCUGGACAUCCAUCACCCUCCUGUGUCCGGUGGCUGCUCGUCCACUUAGCGGUGCCGUGGCC